GGAGCACCAGGAGCCUUGCAAAGUAAGUACAAAUAGCUAAAUAAAUCAAUAAAAGACACAUAACAUCUUUAGAAAGUUACAUAUUUGUGUGUUGACAAACAGCUCCCAGAGCCAUUGGACCAGCUCUCCGGCAGCUGGUGCGCGUGUGGCAGGUGCGCGCAGCGGGUGAUUUACGCGUCUCCCUCGUGCGGGACGGUGACGCGCCGGGGUCACACCGCACGUGAGUCCAUCACAUGAGCGCGUCAGAGACACAAAUAACUGGGAAAGAUCUCAGCGACGGUAUACAGGAGAGAAUCCUCUGAUUCAGUGGAGGCUUCAGUUUCAGUAUCUGAGGAUCACAGUUGAUGGAGGUUUCAUUCCUUGUGAAUGAUCAAAAAUUGGUGACUACUAAGUUCUUCACACGGACCCGUGCAGUGACGUGUGUUGGAUCAGUCAACAGAUGGCAGUGCUCAUCCAAACGGAACAGUCAAUAUGAACUUAGUCUUCAUCACACAUUUUGACCAUGUGGACUGUUCAUGCUUGUUUGUUU